rnacentral:lncRNA from 1 species
CUCCACUGACUCCUUUCUACGCGUGCUACAGACCGUACAGCUACCCGCCGCCAAUGGAGGUGAGGUACGACCGCAAGGCAACAGAGAAGGUCGAAGCCAUCCCCCAAAAGGAAGCACCACCAGACAUCGACUUGAGUUUGAAUUACAACAAAGAGGGGUCGGUUGAAUCGACUGAUAAACAUUCGGUGGAGACAAAUAAGGCCGAAUCGGUCGUAUAAGCAGUGACACCUGGUGGACCGUAUGCAUCAUGGGUUUUCGGAAGAGAUCGUCGUAGGAGAUCGCACGUAUUGAAGGAGAUUGCAUUCACUUCCACCAAGGCGAACCCUGUUCUUCUGACGUAAUCGUCGGUGGCCGCAAAGAAACGUUUCGUCACGGUAUCAAAAGAAACGUUCCUAUGUAACUGGCGACAAGCGUCGCCAUGCACAUAGCAUUGAAAAUGGGCGAGCAAUAUUUGAAGCGCGGUAUGGCGCAAUUUAGCAGUAGGUGUGACGAAAUAGAUGCGGCAGGUACUCUAAAAUAGUAGCAUCGUGUAGAAUAUUUGAAUUGAAAAUGGGCGGAUAAUGUUUUAGUAAUGCGCAGCGGUGUCCGAUGGAAGAUCAUGACCUAGUCAGCGCCAUCAAAGCAUAGGCCUACAAUCGGCGUAAGGUGUUGUCUGACGUGUGUGUUUUGUCUACCUCAUCUAACCCCUGACCAGAUUCGUUAGACUACAAACGGCCGAGUAUAACCAAUAUUUAGCGUUUCGGUACACGUCCCGCGUUUAUCUAUAUGCUUGGCCCUACCCAUGCAGCCCUUCAGUCCGCCACAGGGCGGCAAGUUCAUGAUGACAAAGGUAGAGCUACAAUAUGCUAUGCCGCGUGAAUGUAGUAGCUCCAAGAAACGGUAAUGCUAGGGUUAGAAUAGACAAUCCCUCUGUAUAGUAUCCGUCUGUAUAGACAAUCCGUCGCACAGCCUGGUCGGGCUACACCCCUAGUAGUUUCAGCAUAAGCAGCAAUAGACAAGUGUACAGACUAUUUAGAAUGUGCGUGCAUUUGAAUUGAUUAGCACCUUGCACCUUCGUUACCUAUCCUGACACUGCCUAUAAUGUUGAGUAAACGACUCCAAGGCAGUAAUAGUGUCGUGGGAUUCCUUAUUAUGUCCGCGAAGUAAUCUACAGCAACUUGUGGAAUUCGUACAUGUAGCCAAGCGGUCUUGGAUUAUUAACAUAAUAUAGUUAGCGCUAAAUUCCGACGCUGUAAUGUGUGAUUUACGUGCCAAAAUGACCAUGCGUUUUCUAAUGCCAAUUCAAAGCUCUGUAUGUAAAGGUCAUCAAAGGACAUGUGGAAAUGCAUGGCAUACCUAGCGCGCCAACCUAGUAGGCCUAAAUUUACAUAGCUCUACAUUCUUAUAUUAUAUUCAUAUAUGUAUUAGGCGAUUUCAAACAUAGACCUUAGCUGGUUGUAUUCUUUCAUACGUUUUAGGUUGUCUUGAUAAUUUAAAAUGACACAUUUAUAAUACAUGAAUUUUAACGGGUAUUUAUAUUUUAAUAACUUCGGGUGAUGAAUGUAAUUGGGUAUAACUUGCAUGAUUGAGGUACAUUUUCAUGAAUAAAACCAUUUUAUAAAAAUUAA